GUUCAAUCUUGGUGUCCCUCGAUUCUACCUAGAAUCCUCUCCUGCCUUCAGGGGCCUUCACACCCAUGCUGUUCCCCCAGGUGCCUCCUCCCAGACCAGGCCUGGCUGAUCCUCCCCUUCCCUUUCCUUCUAGCAACCUGAACAAACCAUCCCUGUUCUCUGUGCUGCUGGGGGCCUGGCAGCUGGGGAACCCUGGCUCUCGGUCCCAGAAGGUGGGUGUUGCCUGGGUGCAGCCCCACCCUGUGUAUUCCUGGAAGGAGGGUGCCCGUGCGGACAUUGCCCUGGUGCGUCUUGAGCACUCCAUACAGUUUUCAGAGCGGGUCCUGCCCAUCUGCCUACCUGAUGCCUCUAUCCACCUCCCUCCAAACACCCACUGCUGGAUCUCAGGCUGGGGGAGCAUCCAAGAUGGAGUGCCCUUGCCCCACCCUCAGACCCUGCAGAAGCUGAAGGUUCCUAUCAUCGACUCGGAAGUCUGCAGCCGCCUGUACUGGCGGGGUGCAGAACAGGGGGCCAUCACUGAGGACAUGCUGUGUGCCGGCUACUUGGAGGGGGAGCGGGAUGCUUGUCUGGGCGACUCCGGGGGCCCCCUCAUGUGCCAGGUAGAUGGCGCCUGGCUGCUGGCCGGCAUCAUCAGCUGGGGCGAGGGCUGUGCCGAGCGCAACAGGCCCGGGGUCUACAUCAGCCUCUCUGCGCACCGCUCCUGGGUGGAGAAGAUCGUGCAAGGGGUGCAGCUCCGCGGGCGCGCUCAGAGGGGUGGGGCCCUCAGGGCACGGAGCCCGGGCUCUGGGGCCGCCGCCCACUCCUAGGGCGCAGCGGGACGCGGGGCUCGGAUCUGAAAGGCGGCCAGAUCCAGAUCUGCAUCUGGAUCUGUAUCUGUGGCGGCCUCGGGCGGUUUCCCCUGCUGUAAAUAGGCUCAUCUACCUCUGGGGGCCCAGACGGCUGCUGCAGAAAGGAGACCCCUCCCCGACCCGCCGGACGGCCUCAGGCCCCGCCCGACGGCCUCAUACCCCGCCCCCACGACUUCCGGCCCCGCCCCCGGGACCCAGCGCUUUUGUGUAUAUAAAUGUUAAUGAUUUUUAUAGCUAUUUGUAACCCUGCCCACAUAUCUUAUUUAUUCCUCCAAUUUCAAUAAAUU
rnacentral:sRNA from 1 species